rnacentral:ribozyme from 1 species
AAGGAAGGACAGGGUAAAAAAGGGGAGCUUUUCCUUUUUAUUUUCCUUUUGUUUUUUUCUUCGUCUUCAUUUUUCUUCUUCUUCUUCCUC